GACGAACGCUGGCGGCGUGCUUAACACAUGCAAGUCGAACGAUGAACCCGGAGCUUGCUCCGGUGGAUUAGUGGCGAACGGGUGAGUAACACGUGAGUAACCUGCCCUUGACUCUGGGAUAACUGCGGGAAACUGUAGCUAAUACCGGAUACGACCCUCGGCGGCAUCGCCAGGGGGUGGAAAGAAUUUCGGUCAAGGAUGGACUCGCGGCCUAUCAGCUAGUUGGUGAGGUAACGGCUCACCAAGGCGACGACGGGUAGCCGGCCUGAGAGGGUGACCGGCCACACUGGGACUGAGAUACGGCCCAGACUCCUACGGGAGGCAGCAGUGGGGAAUAUUGCACAAUGGGCGCAAGCCUGAUGCAGCGACGCCGCGUGAGGGAUGACGGCCUUCGGGUUGUAAACCUCUUUCAGUAGGGACGAAGCGCAAGUGACGGUACCUACAGAAGAAGGACCGGCCAACUACGUGCCAGCCGCCGCGGUAAAAC
rnacentral:rRNA from 1 species